UCCUCAGAUUUCAGCCUCCUCAGUAGUUAGGAUUAUGGUGGCAUGAGCCACCAGCGCCCAGAAAAUCAUUGUCUUUUCAUUGGUGGUAUUUGAUGUAUUUCUGCCUCUUGUUUCUGGGUAAGUUACUUGAGCUCUCGAGUCUCAGAUUCAUAGGGUUAUUUGUAAGGUCCACUCCUGGAAGGGCUUCAUGCAGAUAUCCCCCACCUGCAGUUGUGCCAGUUACCUAGGUAACUCAGGUACUGGGUUCAGACUUAAA